rnacentral:misc_RNA from 1 species
CAACAUUUCCGUCAACUUGUUGUUUUCUUAGUGCAUAAUUUCCGCAUUGAUAAUUCUCUGCUGGAGAAACGUGGUGCUUUGAUUAUCCGAAGACUCUGUGUACUGUUAGAUGCUGAAAGGGUCUAUCGUGAACUCUCCAUGAUACUCGAGGGUGAAGCUGAUCUGGAUUUUGCAUCUAUUAUGGUUCAGGCUCUAAAUUUGAGCUUACUUACUUCCUCUGAACUAGCUGAGCUUCGUGUUCUUUUAAAGCAAUCACUUGUAAAUCCUGCUGGAAAAGACUUAUUUGUUUCUUUGUAUGCUUCAUGGUGCCAUUCACCUAUGGCAAUUAUAAGCCUUUGCCUAUUAGCACAGACAUAUCAGCAUGCAAGUGUGGUGAUUCAGUCAUUGGUAGAGGAAGAUAUAAAUGUCAAAUUCUUGGUCCAGCUGGAUAAAUUGAUUCGCUUGCUAGAAAC